rnacentral:lncRNA from 1 species
UGAUCCAAUCANCUUCUUUGAUGGUGAGCAAGUUAGAUGAUAAUGACGAGUCUGUGUCUCGGAAGACUGAUAUUAAUUCUGAUGAAACUCUGAUUCAAUUAAAACUCUACAGUCAUGAUUACGAUCUAAAGGUUUCUGAUGAUACUAGUGUCCAUCCAUCGUAAAUCUUCAGCCUUAAUAUCGAAAGUGGUGAUCCUAUAUAGACUGAUAGUACAAGGAUUAAUAUCAGUCAAUGCAACUGGAUAUAGUUUGUAUUCCUAUGUCAAUUGUGAUUACAAUAAUGUUAUCUAGCGCUAAUAGUAGUAGAGCAUCCGUCUGAAUGAUCACACUUGAUAUGUUUAAUUAAAUGAAUUAUGUAACAUUGCAUUUAAGGGAAUUUAUUAUUUGAAGUCUGUUUGUGCUCAUUUUUGGUGUAAAAUGCAUUUUAAAAUAGUAAAUUGAUGGAAAAUAUGUGGCUAAAAAAGUAAGGAAAAUUUUGAAUUUGCGUGUAAUAUUAUUUUAUUGAAAAAUGUAUGACUGAAAAAAGGAGAAAAAAAUGUAUUUUGGAAAUAUUGGGAAUCAAACAAGGACUUAAUGUCAUGCAGUUGUUACUUAAACUGGCGCUUGACAUCAGUUGUGCUAAAUAGCACUACUCCCGUGAUUAUCUUGGUUCUCAGUGGACUUCCUAUGAAGCCUUCAACUAUGAGCUUGAAAAGUUGGUUGGACUAUACAUGGAAAUAAAUCAAAUAGCUUUGCUUGCGCAGGAAUUGUACUUCACAAAUUUGUUCCAAGAUUUGAUUUGGUACAAAGUGGAAUAUGUGGACCAUUUGAGAUUAUUGAUAGGCAAGGAGAAAGUGGUUUUGCAAGUUUGGAUUGCAUGGCUUGACAAGCAAAUACUACAUUUCAAAUUCAAGUUGUGAUACCAGGUGGAAUUCACCAGUUAUUGACAACACUAUGGAUUCUUACAUUCCAAGUUAUAUUGCUGAACAUCAUGUUGUUAAUGAAUUGGUGUAUUUUAAGGAAUUUGUGGGAAAUCCUAUGCUCAUGAAUUCGAAGUUUUUGCAUACCUAUUUUAUGUCGAAAAAUAAGUAAAACUAGA